rnacentral:rRNA from 1 species
AACGAACGCUGGCGGCACGCCUAACACAUGCAAGUCGAGCGCUACCUUCGGGUGGAGCGGCGGACGGCUGAGUAACGCGUAGGAAUGUACCCCAAAGUGAGGAAUAACUGCCCGAAAGGGUGGCUAAUGCCGCAUGUGAUCUAAGGAUUAAAGUCUUCGGACGCUUUGGGAGCAGCCUGCGUAUGAUUAGUUUGUUGGUGAGGUAAUGGCUCACCAAGACUACGAUCAUUAGCUGGUCUGAGAGGAUGAUCAGCCAGACUGGGACUGAGACACGGCCCAGACUCCUACGGGAGGCAGCAGUAGGGAAUUUUCCACAAUGGACGAAAGUCUGAUGGAGCAACGCCGCGUGCAGGAUGAAGGCUUUCGGGUCGUAAACUGCUUUUAUGGAUGAAGAAUAUGACAGUAGUCCAAGAAUAAGGGACGGCUAACUACG